rnacentral:misc_RNA from 1 species
AUAAGCAUGAUUUGCCAAUUUCUAGAUUGCAGCCCAUUGUCUCUAUUACAACAUUUCACGUUCAAUUUUAUGCCAUGAAAACAGAGAAGCUUUUCAUCAAACACGUUCCAGGCACUCCAGACUGCAGCCCACAAUCUCCAUUGCAGCACUUCAUGACCAAUUUUGUACCAUGAAACAGAGAAAAAUACUGUAAAACAUGUUACAAGGAUGAAAAUUGAAGCGAUAGACGAAACAUGCUAA